AGAUUGAACGUCUAGCGGCAUGCCUAACACAUGCAAGUCGGAACGGUAACAGGCCCUUCGGGGUGCUGACGAGUGGCGGACGGUGAGUAAUGCGUAGGAAUCUACCCACGAGUGGGGGGAUAGCCCGGUAGAAAUCCGGAUUAAUUACCGCAUAUGGCCCUACGGGGUAAAGGCGGGGGACCGAAAGGCCUCGCGCAGCAGGAUGAGCCGAUGUCCGAUUAGUUGGGUGGUGGGG
rnacentral:rRNA from 1 species